GCAACACGUCUUGUGUUGACUUUCACUUUUUCUUAUUAUCGGGAGAAUGAACAAUAGUCCGUAAAAUGUGUAGUCAAUUGACGACAGCUUGUCACAUGCUAAGCCUAUCUAUGCCAGCGUGUGUGAUCGCUCACGUUUCAAUAUCAUUCCACUUUCUGGCAUUUUUGUUUACAUGCCUGGCUGGCGACAUCUAACUAGCUCGGAGCUACAAGUGGCUAUUACGUUCAUGGGAUACAUCAAUCAUCCAUUAUCAUCACAACUUUUUUAAAGUGUCACUUAGCAAUCUUGCUUGCUUGUUAUCAUUAUAAUACUAAUGGCUUGUCUGCAAAACACUAGUCGUGUGUCGAAGUUAUGCAACAGAAACACGUAGUGUGUGCAGCUUUAGACAGUGACGCUAUCACAGGCGUCUCCAACAAGUAGCUCACCAGCUGAUGUUGAACGCAGCAGUGGCACAACACAGGGGCAGCCGUCCGCCCUCCCGUGCAGCCCACCACCACAGCUUCAAAAAAUCCUAGGGGAAACCCUGAGAGAGGGAAUUAAAAUACAGAUUGAGAUCAGACAUCACCCACAGAUUCAAGUGGAUUAACAUAAAACCCAUUAAAGGAAAUGGAAAAAGUCAAGUCACAAAGCUGAUAUUCUGCUGACUCACAAGGCACAGAGGACACAACACGCUUCCUGAUGGCUACGCCAUCGAUCUAUCAGACACACUUCCUGUCAGGUGAUGUCUCUCUCACUCUCUCUGCCAGUCCCUCAUGUCCUCUUAAAGAUUACUGCAAUGCCCCGCUUUCCAGUCUUCCUGAAAAGAAUAUUCCAUCGUGACAACUACUGCAAAAUUCAGCGGCACAUGUCCUGACGAAGACCAGAAGGCGGGCCCCCAUUACACCGGCAUUGGUUCCCCAUGUGUUUCAGGAUGGAUUUUAAGGUUCUUAUUAUGGUUCCAUUUGUGGAACAGUUUGUCGGAGGACCUCAGGGCUGCAGAGAAUCUUCAGGUUUUUAAGGCCAGGCCCAAGACCCACCUCUUUGAUCCGGCUUUUACUUAAUAUUUAUUAACUUUAUGAGAGCGAUUUAUUUUUACUGUUAUUUCUGUUAUUAGUAUUAUUAUUUUAUUUAUGUUUUCUAAUUAUAUUCUACUGGUAUCCUGUUUAUUUUUUUAAUCUUUAUCACACUUUGAUUCUCUUUUAAAUCGUUAUAUUGUUAAUCUUAUUUUUAGUCUUUAUUUUUAAUCAUAGUGUUUACUAUUUAUAUUUCUUUUGUUAAAAGGGAAUUUUAAUCUUGAUGAGUUUUUUUUAGUUUUAUCUUCCAGUGUUCUUCAGAAGGAGCCCUCUGCAUUAGGGUUACGUCGGCCAUGGCUGCGGGGGUCCACACAGUGUCCUGUCAGUGGUCUGAUGGGCUCCUGGUGCAGACGGCUCCUGUGACAGUGUUUCCUCACCUGCCUCCUAUUUGCUUUGCCUAUUUUAAUUCCAUAUUUCAAUUCUAUGGCUAAAUGUGCACGUGUGUGUGUGUGUGUGUGUGUGGUGCGGGGGUAUGGGAGAGGUGUUGUUCAGGGCAUUGUCUUUAACUUUGUAUGAAAAGUGCUUUAUAAAUAAAGUUUGAUUUGAUGAUUUGACUUGUAGUUAUAUAGAACAAAGUGAAUUGUUUGAUAGCUCUGCUCCAUGUCCUGAAAUCCACUCUAGAGAUGUGUGUUUUUUACACUUUUUUUUGUGAAACUAUUAUUUCAUGAUUAGUUGGAAAAUGUGCCCAUUGCUGAAACCUUUUUAACAUGUUAUUAACAUGUUAUAUUUGUAAUGUUUAAUAGCAACUGGACGUAAAACAUGAACUGUCUGAAUAAUGAACGCCACGUAGCUAUUUUUCCUGACUACUCAGGUUAUGUGCAGAACCAUGGAGGAAUUAUGUGUAAUUAUCUUUACUGUCAUAUCGAAUUGAAUUGUGAAUUAUUGAACAAUAUGAACUACUUUGAUUACCUGUAAACUAUGAAACUGUGAAUGUGAAAUAUUAAUCAUUAGUAGGGGAGUCACGAGAUACCCAAUACACGAGACAAGACUAUGCAUGAGAUUGGGUCCAUGAGAACGAGACGAGAGAAGAUUUCAACAUUAAUUUUAAGAAAAGUACAAUGAAAAAAUAUGACUGGCCAGACUUUUUUUAUUUAACCGAGUCACCAAACGAUGCAGUGCCAACGGCAUCUACAACCACCACCAAACAUUUGUUCACAUUUAUACACUAGUGUAAGCUCCACUGGAGGCAAGGUGGGUGAAGUGUCUUGCCCAAGGACACAACAGCAGUGCCUGGUAUAGAGGAAACUAGGUUUGAACCACCAACCCUGGACGACCACCUCUUGAGAUAUGUAUAACAAAAUAAAUGUAUGAUGGCAAUAUUUGGCCGUUGGACUUUUGGUAAUAGGUGAGGUACUCCCUGGGCUGGUUGCCAGUCAGUAACAGGACACACAACACUCACAUUCAUACAAUGUAAAGUACUUAAUUAACCUAGAUGCGUAUUUUAAGGAUGUGCAAAAACCCAUACGAGCACAUGGAGAAAUUGCAAACUCCACACAGAAAGACCUGAUGAGAAUGGAAAAGGCAUUUGGAUGUGCUAACUACACAGUCACUGUGCUGAC